rnacentral:rRNA from 1 species
AUAAUCAAUUACUACUCAACUUACACAUGCAAGUCUCCGCAGCCCUGUGAGAACGCCCUCAAAUCCCCAAAGGGGAUCAGGAGCUGGUAUCAGGCUCGACCCUCAGCCCAUGACACCUAGCUAUGCCACUCCCACAAGGGUAUUCAGCAGUGAUCAACAUUGAAUAUAAGCGAAAGCUUGAUUCAGUUAGAGUUAACAGAGCCGGCAAAUCUGGUGCCAGCCGCCGCGGCCAUACCAUGGGCUCAAAUUGACUAUACCCGGCGUAAAGCGUGAUUAAAGUAAACUAAAAUUGCAAAUAAACCGGGCCUAAGAUGUUUCAACCCUUGAACCCGGGAAACUCAAAAACGAAAGUCAUUGUAAAUCAACCCACUUGA